GUAUGCUUUACCGCCUGAAGAAUGUC
rnacentral:sRNA from 1 species